rnacentral:rRNA from 1 species
GAUGAACGCUGGCGGCAUGCCUAAUACAUGCAAGUCGAACGAGAGGAAGGAAAGCUUGCUUUCCUGAAUCUAGUGGCGAACGGGUGAGUAACACGUCGGUAACCUGCCCAUGUGCCCGGGAUAACUUCUGGAAACGGAUGCUAAAACCGGAUAGGUAGCAGACAAGCAUUUGACUGCUAUUAAUGUGGCCUUGGCCAUGAACAUGGAUGGACCUGCGGUGCAUUAGCUAGUUGGUGAGGUAACGGCCCACCAAGGCGACGAUGCAUAGCCGGCCUGAGAGGGCGGACGGCCACAUUGGGACUGAGACACGGCCCAAACUCCUACGGGAGGCAGCAGUAGGGGAUUUUCGUCAAUGGGGGGAACCCUGAACGGGCAAUGCCGCGUGAGUGAGGAAGGUCUUCGGAUCGUAAAGCUCUGUUGUAAGAGAAAAACGGCACUCAUAGGGAAUGAUGAGUGAGUGAUGGUAUCUUACCAGAAAGUCACGGCUAACUACGUGCCAGCAGCCGCAGUAAGAC